AUACGGAGGAUCCGAGCGUUAUCGGGAUUUAUUGGGUUUAAAGGGUGCGCAGGCGGCCAUUUAAGUCAGCGGUUAAAUCGUGGGGCUCAACCCCAUUCUGCCGUUGAUACUGGGUGGCUUGAUUGCGGUCGAGGUUGGCGGAAUUCGUUGUGUAGCGGUGAAAUGCAUAGAUAUGACGAAGAACACCGAUUGCGUAGGCAGCUGACCAGACCGCAAAUGACGCUCAUACACGAAAGUGCGGGGAUCGAACAGGAUUAGAUACCCUGGUAGUCCGCACAGUAAACGAUGAAUACUUGUUUUCGGCGAUAUAAUGUCGGAGGCAAAGCGAAAGCGAUAAGUAUUCCACCUGGGGAGUACGCCGGCAACGGUGAAACUCAAAUGAAUUGGCGGGG
rnacentral:rRNA from 1 species